rnacentral:rRNA from 1 species
AUUGAACGCUGGCGGCAGGCCUAACACAUGCAAGUCGAGCGGAGCGGCGGACGGGUGGGUAAUGCCUAGAAAUCUGCCUGGUCGUGGGGGAUAACGUCCGGAAACGGGCGCUAAUACCGCAUACUAUCAGAUGAGCCUAGGUCGGAUUGGCUAGUUGGUGGGGUAAAGGCCUACCAAGGUGACGAUCCGUAGCUGGCCUGAGAGGAUGAUCAGUCAACCUGGAACUGAGAGACGGUCCAUACUCCUACGGGAGGCAGCAGUGGGGAAUAUGGGACAAUGGGCGAAAGCCUGAUCCAGCCAUGCCGCGGGUGUGAAGAAGGUCUUCGGAUUGUAAAGUACUUUAAGUUGGGAGGCGUUACCAGCAGAAGAAGCACCGGCUAACUGCGUGCCAGCAGCCGCGGUAAUAC